UACGUAGGCAGCGAGCGUUGUUCGGAAUUACUGGGCGUAAAGAGUGUGUAGGCGGUGCUCUAAGUUCGGUGUGAAAUCUCCUGGCUCAACUGGGAGGGUGCGCCGGUAACUGGAGUGCUUGAGCGUGGGAGAGGAAAGCGGAAUUCCUGGUGUAGCGGUGAAAUGCGUAGAUAUCAGGAGGAACACCUGUGGUGUAGACGGCUUUCUGGACCAUAGCUGACGCUGAGACACGAAAGCGUGGGUAGCAAACAGG
rnacentral:rRNA from 1 species